CCACGGAUGUUUGAGCAUGUGCU
rnacentral:miRNA from 2 species